GACGAACGCUGGCGGCGUGCCUAAUACAUGCAAGUCGAGCGAAUUGACGAAGAAAGCUUGCUUUCUUCUGAUGUUAGCGGCGGACGGGUGAGUAACACGUGGGCAACCUGCCCUUUAGUUUGGGAUAACUUCGGGAAACCGGAGCUAAUACCGAAUAAUACUCCAAACCUCAUGGUUUGAAGUUGAAAGAUGGUUUCGGCUAUCGCUAAAGGAUGGGCCCGCGGUGCAUUAGCUAGUUGGUGAGGUAACGGCUCACCAAGGCAACGAUGCAUAGCCGACCUGAGAGGGUGAUCGGCCACACUGGGACUGAGACACGGCCCAGACUCCUACGGGAGGCAGCAGUAGGGAAUCUUCCACAAUGGACGAAAGUCUGAUGGAGCAACGCCGCGUGAGUGAUGAAGGAUUUCGGUUCGUAAAACUCUGUUGCAAGGGAAGAACAAGUAGCGUAGUAACUGGCGCUACCUUGACGGUACCUUGUUAGAAAGCCACGGCUAACUACGUGCCAGCCGCCGCCGUAAGAC
rnacentral:rRNA from 1 species